rnacentral:rRNA from 1 species
GAUGAACGCUGGCGGCGUGCCUAAUACAUGCGAGUCGAGCGAACAGACGAGGAGCUUGCUCCUCUGACGUUAGCGGCGGGCGGGUGAGUAACACGUGGAUAACCUACCUAUAAGACUGGGAUAACUUCGGGAAACCGGAGCUAAUACCGGAUAAUAUAUUGAACCGCAUGGUUCAAUAGUGAAAGACGGUUUUGCUGUCACUUAUAGAUGGAUCCGCGCCGCAUUAGCUAGUUGGUAAGGUAACGGCUUACCAAGGCAACGAUGCGUAGCCGACCUGAGAGGGUGAUCGGCCACACUGGAACUGAGACACGGUCCAGACUCCUACGGGAGGCAGCAGUAGGGAAUCUUCCGCAAUGGGCGAAAGCUUGACGGAGCAACGCCGCGUGAGUGAUGAAGGUCUUCGGAUCGUAAAACUCUGUUAUUAGGGAAGAACAAAUGUGUAAGUAACUAUGCACGUCUUGACGGUACCUAAUCAGAAAGCCACGGCUAACUACGUG